CACGUGGACAACCUGCCUCAAGGCUGGGGAUAACAUUUGGAAACAGAUGCUAAUACCGAAUCAAACUUAGCGUCGCAGGACACAAAGUUAAAAGGCGCUUCGGCGUCACCUAGAGAUGGAUCCGCGGUGCAUUAGUUAGUUGGUGGGGUAAAGGCCUACCAAGACAAUGAUGCAUAGCCGAGUUGAGAGACUGAUCGGCCACAUUGGGACUGAGACACGGCCCAAACUCCUACGGGAGGCUGCAGUAGGGAAUCUUCCACAAUGGGCGAAAGCCUGAUGGAGCAACGCCGCGUGUGUGAUGAAGGCUUUCGGGUCGUAAAGCACUGUUGUAUGGGAAGAACAGCUAGAAUAGGAAAUGAUUUUAGUUUGACGGUACCAUACCAGAAAGGCACGGCUAAAUACGUGCCAGCAGCCGCGGUAAUACGUAUGUCCCGAGCGUUAUCCGGAUUUAUUGGGCGUAAAGCGAGCGCAGACGGUUUAUUAAGUCUGAUGUGAAAGCCCGGAGCUCAACUCCGGAAUGGCAUUGGAAACUGGUUAACUUGAGUGCAGUAGAGGUAAGUGGAACUCCAUGUGUAGCGGUGGAAUGCGUAGAUAUAUGGAAGAACACCAGUGGCGAAGGCGGCUUACUGGACUGCAACUGACGUUGAGGCUCGAAAGUGUGGGUAGCAAACAGGAUUAGAUACCCUGGUAGUCCACACCGUAAACGAUGAACACUAGGUGUUAGGAGGUUUCCGCCUCUUAGUGCCGAAGCUAACGCAUUAAGUGUUCCGCCUG
rnacentral:rRNA from 1 species